rnacentral:rRNA from 1 species
UACAGAGGGGGCAAGCGUUAUUCGGAAUUAUCGGGCGUAAAGGGCGCGUAGGCGGCUUGGCAAGUGGAAGGUGAAAUCCCUCGGCUUAACCGAGGAACUGCCCUCCAAACUGCUUUGCUUGAGGCCGGGAGAGGCGAGUGGAAUUCCCAGUGUAGCGGUGAAAUGCGUAGAUAUUGGGAGGAACACCAGUGGCGAAGGCGGCUCGCUGGACCGGUUCUGACGCUGAGGCGCGAAAGCGUGGGGAGCAAACGGG